UGCUACAUUUUAGGAUUUGAACCUAAGACCUUAAGCUUAUAAUGCCUUCAUCAAACCACUUGGGCAUAUAAGC
rnacentral:tRNA from 1 species